GACAGGUACAGAACACCUCUUGGUCCUGCUCUACUCUCCUCCCUCCUGGACAGACAGGUACAGAACACCUCUUGGUCCUGCUCUACUCUCCUCCCUCCUGGACAGACAGGUACAGAACACCUCUUGGUCCUCCUCUACUCUCCUCCCUCCUGGACAGACAGGUACAGAACACCUCUUGGUCCUGCUCUACUCUCCUCCCUCCUGGACAGACAGGUACAGAACACCUCUUGGUCCUGCUCUACUCUCCUCCCUCCUGGACAGACAGGUACAGAACACCUCUUGGUCCUGCUCUACUCUCCUCCCUCCUGGACAGACAGGUACAGAACACCUCUUGGUCCUGCUCUACUCUCCUCCCUCCUGGACAGACAGGUACAGAACACCUCUUGGUCCUCCUCUACUCUCCUCCCUCCUGGACAGACAGGUACAGAACACCUCUUGGUCCUCCUCUACUCUCCUCCCUCCUGGACAGACAGGUACAGAACACCUCUUGGUCCUGCUCUACUCUCCUCCCUCCUGGACAGACAGGUACAGAACACCUCUUGGUCCUCCUCUACUCUCCUCCCUCCUGGACAGACAGGUACAGAACACCUCUUGGUCCUGCUCUACUCUCCUCCCUCCUGGACAGACAGGUACAGAACACCUCUUGGUCCUGCUCUACUCUCCUCCCUCCUGGACAGACAGGUACAGAACACCUCUUGGUCCUGCUCUACUCUCCUCCCUCCUGGACAGACAGGUACAGAACACCUCUUGGUCCUGCUCUACUCUCCUCCCUCCUGGACAGACCACUUGCAUAUCUUUGAUUGAUAGUUUCCUGGUAUCUUUGCCACAAAACUGUCUCUGUGUGUUUGUGUCAUCUCAUGUUUGACAAAGAUAAACAAAGAUUUUUUCCAAUUUCCAAAUAAUCAAACGUCUGUUACACUGUAACUUACAGGCAGCCUCACAUAAAAACCUAUUGGUUAACAAAGCUUUGAUUAUGACCAAAGUCUAUAGUAGUGAAAACUCUCUCUCUCUAUUGUA